rnacentral:lncRNA from 1 species
CCAAAACAGAUUGGGCCGGCUAGGCCUGGACCAGCCCAACCCAAUCACAACUGUUUUUUGUUUUUACUUCUUUAGAUUGGGUCUAACCCAUCUUGUAUGGGCUCCUCUGGACCCAGUAGCUCCAGUUGUCACUGUACCAAGGCAGUGACCUGCCAAUUGGAAGCACGAGUGAAUUUAUCAAGCAUGCAUGAACAGUGUGAAGAUAAUCAAAAUAACCUUCGCACAAUGUUCAAAUAUCAGUUUUAUAGAGCGAAAGAAGAUUGCAUACCUGGUUCUGGAGACGGUGAAGACGAUGGUCAAUGCUGGUUCUCUUCUCUGUGUUUUCGUCUGCUGGUGUUUUUGGUUUCCUUGUCUUUCUCUUUGUGUUUCUUCCUUUACUUCUGGGUUUUUCUGAUUCUCUGCCCCUGUGUUGCUCCCCUGUCUUUGUCCUUUUGCUUCUUCGGUUUUGUUUGGGUUUCCUCUGUUUUCUGUGAUGUUCCUGUUCUGGGGUUGUUGUUCGGUCUUGCCUUGUGUAAUUUUCCAGUGUCUUCGUUCUCCCCUCGCGACGGCUGCCUUGUUGGGUUUUUGUAGGAGAUUUGGUAGCCUCUGCCCACGUCUCCUUAUGAUACUCACGGCGUGGGAGUUAGUCUCCUGCAAGGAUGCGGACGCCGACAGUCCUGCUACCGCCGGACUGUUGGCGGGUAGACUUUGGCCCGGAUUCCGGUAGCGUGCUCGGGAGGAAGUCUGCUUGGAUUGAGGACUUUGGCAGACUAAAUUGGUCUGUUUUGGCUUGUGUUGGGCUGCCCAUCUGGGCAG